rnacentral:lncRNA from 1 species
AUGAAAUUUUUUUUUUUUUAUCUAUACUUAAAAUCAAACAUUCUGAAAACUGUCUCCUGCACUUUAGUUCAUAUCUCAACUAAUCUCUCACAUAAAUAAUUAUAAUAAUUACCGACUGUCCCUAGAGCAAGUGGCAAAAGGCUUGGUGGUUGGUAUCCGAGACCCAAGUUCGAAUCCUAGUUGAUUUACAUUUCUAGCUAAGUUUAUUUCUAAUGAAAUAAACGAAGCGGGUAGCAUGCUAUCUAUCUCUAAAAAAAAAAAAAAAUUAUAAUAAUUUUUAUUUCACGUUUAUUUUCACUAUCAAAUUUAAAAUUUUGAAAUAAUUACUAACUUA